GACGAACGCUGGCGGCGUGCCUAAUACAUGCAAGUAGAACGCUGAAGGAGGAGCUUGCUUCUCUGGAUGAGUUGCGAACGGGUGAGUAACGCGUAGGUAACCUGCCUGGUAGUGGGGGAUAACUAUUGGAAACGAUAGCUAAUACCGCAUAAUAGCAGUUGUUGCAUGAUAACUGUUUGAAAGGUGCAAUUGCACCGCUACCAGAUGGACCUGCGUUGUAUUAGCUAGUUGGUGGGGUAACGGCUCACCAAGGCGACGAUACAUAGCCGACCUGAGAGGGGGAUCGGCCACACUGGGACUGAGACACGGCCCAGACUCCUACGGGAGGCAGCAGUAGGGAAUCUUCGGCAAUGGACGGAAGUCUGACCGAGCAACGCCGCGGGAGUGAAGAAGGGUUUCGGAUCGUAAAGCUCUGUUGUAAGAGAAGAACGAGUGUGAGAGUGGAAAGUUCACAAUGUGACGGUAUCUUACCAGAAAGGGACGGCUAACUACGUG
rnacentral:rRNA from 1 species